UUAAAUGCUAGUAGGAGUAAAACAAUUAACAUCAUAACUUGAGAUAAGCACCAUAAAGAGGUUUCCCUUUAACCUGGAAUACCUUAUAGACUUUAACCUACCUGGAAGAAACUCUCAACUCUCCAGACUCAAAUGUCAACUCCUCCCCCAAGCAAAAUUAAUCAUUUCCACAUUUGUUUUCCCAUAGCACUUUAAAAACCAUGUCUUCAAAAAUAAGUCCAAAAAAAAAAAAGUCCCAAGUUUUUUCACAUUUUAAUGCUUCUGAACUCAAAAUAUGACUUACUAAAAGAAACUAGCCAGAUACCAGGUACAGAAAUAGAUUGUAACAUAAUUGUCAUUGCUUGCACAAAUUAGUGGACUUAACUAAUUUCCCAGAAAAGGUCAGAGAAAUUUCAGACCUGGAAUUGAUGACAGGAUUCACACUUCAGGAAUGGACUAAUUAGUGGGACUCUUCAAAAAAGCUUGGCUCCAACUUUGAUUUACAGAAGAGGCUGGUAGCAGAAGGGGAAAUCAGAGAAAUUGAAGUGCAAGAAAAAUUUGAUGAGCCGUUGCUGGUUUUGAAGAUGGAGGGAGAGGAAGGCAUGUGGAAAGGACCUUAGAGCAACUCUUGGCUUACAGCCAGCAAGGUAACAGAGUCCACAGACCUACAACUGCAAGGAACUUGAUUCUGCCAACAAUUUGAAGGAGCUUGAAUGAUUCUUCCCCAGAGCUUCAAGCCAAGAGCUCAGUCCAGUGGACAUUUUUAUUUGUACCUUGUGAGCCCAUGAACAAAGAAUCCAGUCAAGCUUGUCCAGACAUCAAUAGAAAACUAAAACAGAUGCCCAAGGACAUUCAGUCUGAACACCUUGGUUAAACUAAGUCUGGAUACAGAAAGAAGAGGACGACAUAUGGCAAGUUAAAGAAUACCAUCAAGAGGGUCUCAACAUG